AAAAAUUUAGUUUAAGAAAAAACGUUGAUUUGUCAAAUUAAAAAUAUUUAAUAAUAGUUUUUA
rnacentral:tRNA from 1 species